UUUUUGCUUAUAACUCAAAAACCAAAGCAUUUAGAGCAAUCUGACAUUGGGUUGAAUUGUUUAUCAGGUCAAAAUCUAUCUGCCCUGAAAUUUCGUAUGAAUCGGACAACCCGUUGUUGGGUUGCUGCCCCUAAAUUGGUAAUUUUAAGGAAAUUUUACUGUUUUGGGUUAUUAUCUUGAAUAUUAUUAUAGAUAGAGAUAAACUUUAAACAGCAAUAAUGUACAGCAAAGUAAGAUUUACAAAUAAGUCAACAUGACUGAAAUGGUCAAUUGACCCCCUAAGGAGUUAUUGUCCUUUAUAGUCAAUUUUUAACAAUUUUCAUAAAAUAUGUAAAUUUUUACAAACAUUUUUUACUACUGGGCCAAGUUCAUUAUAGAUAGAGAUAAUUGUAAGCAG
rnacentral:lncRNA from 1 species